UCCCUGGUGGCUCAGAUGGUAAAGCAUCUGCCUACAGUGCGGGAGACCCGGGUUCAAUCCCUGGGUUGGGGAA
rfam:TPA: Bos taurus chromosome X, whole genome shotgun sequence.